AUGGGCGUGAGGCUCAUCUCUCCAAGUUCCAACUUCCACUGUUCAACUGCACAGUGGAUGAUGACAACCACGUCCCAGGACUAUGUUACUGCAGAAAUGAUGCUGAACACAGGCCAAGGGACAGAAGCUCAAACCACAGUGCCAAAGCCCCGUGCAAGGACACUGACCUCUGCUCUGACCAGUGACAGUAGACUCCCUUGGGUCUGCUUGGAUGGCAAGAGGAAGGCACAGGGCUGGAGCUCUCGCACUUCACCAAGAACAACAGCAGCUGGGGUGCUGAUCGCGCGUGUCAGUCCUAGCCCCAUCUCAGAGCACCUGGCCUGCAGUCCCAGGGAAGAUGCUGGGUACUUUUCACAGCUCCCGGAGAAGUACCCGAGCUUCCAGCCUGAGAAGAAGCAAGGGAACAGUCCUGCUCCACAUCAAGCCGGUGAUGUUUCCAGACUUCUCAAAUCCCACUUGGACUUCCUUCCUCAUUUUAGAAAAGAGUGACACUUAGGAGAUGCUGAAAAGGCAAGAAUAUAUCAAAGGCAGCACAGGGAAAACUGGACCUAUUGUCAACAGACUCUCUCCUGUUUAAAUUCUUCUGGGCAGUGAACUGUGUGUCUCAUCCUUGAGUUCCUGUGGCUUAGAAAGAUAUUUCAAUAACAUGAGUCAUCGGCAGCCCUGGUUUCCACUUGGAAGCUUUUCAUAUCAUGCAGAUAAAAUUUUAUUGGGAACUCAACUUUGCCCUGCAGCCAUGAGUUAAAGCCUUCAGGACAUGAACCCACGAAGGGCAAGGUUUUUCUACCUCCUCUCUGGACAACAGAAUCACAAAAUUAUCAGACUUUCGAGCUUUAGAGUUGAUCCCAUUUAGCAUCACCCAGUGGGAAAAGCUCUCAAGUGUUCCUCAAAUUGCCAGUUAUCAUUUUUGCUCAAACACUUCCAGCCGUGCAUAACUAUUAAUAACUCAAUUAAUCACUCAUUAUGGGACCAACCUGAUGCAAAGUCAACCCACAAUUUGAGAGAAUGUGUUUCCAAAGCUACCUCUCUGUCUAAGUAAAUGACUACAGUUUUUCAUCUUUUAAGUUAAUACAGCCUGGGGUCAAGCUGAGCCAGCCUAAGCUUGUACUUGAAGAGGCCAAGGGAGUUCAAGAGAUGAGUCAUCCUUCAGGGUGAUGUCCACAGCCAACCAGAGCGCCUUUCCCUUUUCCAACUGAGCGUUGCUGCUCAGGGCUUCAUCAUCUCAGGCCCCCCCCCGCCCUGUUCCUGAUCACUGGCCACACCAUCAUCGGAUUGUGUCCCCCUCCCCUGUGACUACAAAUCUUUAUGACUGUGGCUGCUGUCUGUGUGGUAGAGUCCCACCUCCUCAGCAUGCUGUCUGUGGCUCCAACCCAAAAGCCCAAAGGCCCAGCUUCAUCUCCCUAUCCAGCCUCUCCUCCAUCAACCCAGUUUCUCCUCCCAUGUUCCAGGCACAUGAAAUCACUUGUUCACUAACUAAUGAUCUCUUGUGAAAAAAACUGAAAAUGUUCAUCGCUCAGUUGUGUCUGACUCUGUGCAACCCCAUGGACUGUAGCCCACCAGGCUCCUCUGUCCAUGGGAUUCUUCAGGCAAGAAUACUGGAGUGGGUAGCCAUUCCCUUCUCCAGGGGAUCUUCCCAAGCCAGGGACCAAACCCAGGUCUCCUGCAUUGCAAGCAGAUUCUUUACCAUCUGAGCCACCAGGGAAGCCUCAAUGAUCCCUUAUGCAUCUGAGCUAAGUCACUCCAGUUGGGUCCGCCCUCUUGCAACCCCAUGGACUUUAGUCGCUAAAUCAUGUCUGACUCUUUUUGCAACUCUAGCUCACCAGGCUCCUUUGUUCAUGGGAUUCUCUAGGCCAGAAUACUGGAAUGGGUUGUCAUGCUUUCCUCUGGGGAAUCUUCAUGACCCAGGGAUCGAACCCAUGUCCCUUAUGUCUCCUGCACUGGCAGGUGGGUUCUUUACCACUAGCACCACGUGGGAAGCCCAGUGACCUCAUGUACUUCUCUGUGAUUCCAAAGUCUUCUCCUUCCCUCUGUUGGCCCGCUGCCAAGACCCAGUUCAAAUGUACUUCCAUUUUCAAGCCUUCAUCACACACCCAGCCCCUCAGCCCCGUCCUGCCUCCCCAGGCUCCUUCCCUGAGCUGCACCGCAUUGACCAUCACUCUCCAGCAUCCAUCCUGGCACCACAGAACUCUGUUGCAUCGGUAUAUUCCACUGAACUCUGUUCCUCAAGGAUUCAGUCAUGUCUUCUUCAUUUUUACAUCAGGACCAGCCCAGAGAAGAUAUUCAGUAUCAUUGAUUGAACCCAUGAAUAAAUAAUUGAAUGCAUGAAUACGUGUGUGAGCCUGCAUGGAACCACCAGGCAUUGGUGGGUGAGUGCCCCUUGCUACCAACAACCAUGCCAGGUACUGCUUGGGCUUCCCUGAUGGCUCAGAUGGUAAAGAAUCUGUCUGUAAUGCAGGAGGCCCUGGUUCAACCCCUGGGUUGGGAAGAUCCCCUGGAGAAGGGAAUGGCUACUCACUCCAGUAUUCUUGCCUGGAGAAUCCCAUGGACAGAGGAGCCUGAUGGGCUAGAGUCCAUGGGGUGGCAAAGAGUCAGAUAUGACUGAUCACCAACACUGUCACUCACUUUCCCAAUAGAUGAUACAAGGAAUAAGAUAUAGACUCUUGUCUCAAGGGGUCUGGCUAAGAAAACAAGACGUAAACAUUAAAGUGGGUCUUGAUCAAGGCCCGUCUCUGCUCUGCAUGUCUUUUGAAGUUAGCAGUCUGGAAGAAUUGCAAACACACAGAACUCAGCCCAGCACAUUCCCCUGGGAAGUGUUAAUGCGAAGUCUGAUCCCUCCCUGGGAAGCUGUGAAGGCCGUCUUGGCCUGACCAUGAGAAGCCAUGCUUGCUGCUUGCAGACCUGACACCACACACUCUGCAGCAUUUGUUGGCCUUGACGGCAUCCUCUCCCAGCCUUCUCUCUCUCCUGCAGAAUGUGGGUGGGAGCUCUGGAUGAUUUAAAAAGUCAUGCCCCAAUGCUGUGAACCUCCAAGGGGGAGUUUCUCUAGGCACCUACUCUGGGCAUCCCCACUCCCAGGCUGUUGUGUUCAGGGCCCUCCAAAGAGAGGGGGAGCAGUGCUUGAUGGAGGCGUGUCUCCAGAGAACACACUGGUAGUAUCUGCGGUGCACCCACAAGCCCAGGCCCUGAUCACCCACCCUGGGAAGGCAGCCAUCCCUGUGCCAUCAGUCAGAGGAAAUGUCAUCAUGGAAAGCAACCCCAAAAACAAUGAUGGCUGUUUGCUGUGGUUCUUUAUGUUUUGGGGAUUCAUCCACCUUGUUACUGAGGUCAGUCCAUUCAUUUAUUUUAAGCUGCUGUAUGUUAUUCGGUCAUAUGAAUAUCCCGGUUUGUCCAGUCAAGUUACAUGUGGGUAGUAUGCCUUUUCCCCUUAUUUCAAGCAAGGUUUCAGUGAAUAAACACCCUUGUUCUUGCUCAUGUGCAGAAGUGGACAUGGUCCCGGCAGGGAACCCAGGAGCAGACCCAGGGCUGGAGGGCUUCUUUUCAUCAGCUUUAAUAAAUGUUGUCGAAUUGCUUCC
ensembl:lincRNA